GGGAUCAUAGUUUAACGGUUAGAACAUACGACCGAUAAUUGUAUAGUGGUGGUUCGAUUCCCCCUGGUCCUA